UUGUGUUAUCAAUUCCCAUUUGUUAUGGGUUUUAUACUGAUUGAAUUAUAUAAAAUGGUGUAUUGCAUAUAAAAUCAUUUUUUAUCACUUUAUAAUUUCAUUAAAUAUUUUUAGAGAUUUAUAAAAUUCAUAAAAUGAUAUUUCGAUAAUUAUUCAGUUCUAAAUGAUUUUCAGUGUAGUUUCAAGUGGGGUGUUUCUGUUAAUUUCAAAAAUGAUCCAAAAAUCGUGGAAAUCAUAUUUUAUUAGUUUUUAAUUAUGUUGAGAUUUUAAAAAUUAUUUUGGUAUUUAUCUGGAUCAUUUUUAUCUGUGAUUUUGUUCGCUAAUCUGUCAAAUUCAGUCUGAGACCAAGCUGGCAGGGGUACGUGUCAAUUGCUUUGAUACGUGUCUUGCGUGAAAUCAGUUUUUAUAAACUGAUUUACUUUCUUUUCUUUUACAAUCUCUCACCGCCUCUUCUCUCUCCUAAAAUCUCUCCACCGUCUCUCUCUUUCUCUCUAAUCUCUCUCUGCACACCCAUCUCCCCCAAAUCUCUCGCUCUCUCCUGCUCCCUCGCACUCUCCUUGCCCUCUCUCUCUCCCGGGUGUCGCUGCAGUGUUCUUAGCCACCGCUGCUCUGUUUUCCGGCCGCCCAUCGCCGCUCGUGCUCCGAUUCCGGCACCACCAGCUCGUCCCCUCUCUUUUCCCCUCAUUCCCCUGCCUCCCUUUGCUUUGCUGCUGUGCCUGUGCAUCUGUAUGUGUGUAUUUCGAGUGUGUGUAUUAGUGUGUGCCACGAGGCUAUGUGUGUGCGCGAUUAUGUGGUCUGGUGUGGGUGUGUGUGUGUAUAUUCUGGUGUCCGUGUGCGGAAUCAGUGUGUGGGUGCUCAGUAUGCGUGCGUGUGUGCAGGUGGGUAUAUGUAUUUGUGUGUGGGCCCGAGUUGGCCGAGUUUUGACUACCUGGCUGUGUAGAUUAUUCGAGUGGCUCGAGUCCUGAAUUGAUUUUCUUAUACGUGUUUAUUUAUUAUUUCAUUUGCUGGUUCGUUUGACUGAUUAUCGAGGUUAGUUAGUAUUUAUAAAUUAAGUAUUUCGAUUAUUUCAGAGAUUGAUUACAGGUUUGUUGGGAUUGUUGUGUCGAUAUGAUAUCGACUGGUAGUCCGAUAAAUAGAGGAGGUGCUGCCCAAUUUUAAAUAAAAUUUAGAUUUUAAAAUUAUACGGGAGCGUAUCCUAUAAUUAUCAGGCUAUUAAUCGAAUUUAUAUAGUUACUGAUUCGUGAUAUUAUUAUUAAAUCUAUAAAUAAUAUUUAUGUGAUUUGGUAGUCAUAGCAUUAUUAUUAAUGUUAAUGUGUGAAACUGUGUUUACUUGGUAAUUUUAGGAUGUCGAAUAUUAAUAAAUAUUAGUAUUAUUCUUUAUUAUUAUUAUUGCUUGCACUAGUAGUAAUAAUAGUAAAUGAUAAUAUUAAUAAUAUAAAUAUGCGAUAUCUUAAAUAGUUAUAAUGCUAUGCUUAUUUAAUUCAACUUGUAUAUAUUUGAUUUGAAUAGUAUCUAAAUUGAGUAUUAUGGUAAGUGGUAAGUAAAUGUAUGGAAAUAUGUGAUACGUGCUAAGUGCUACGUGUUAAAUGUUAGAGUGUUAUUCUUGAUAGUAUAAUGUAUUAAUAUUGAAUUACUUUCCAUUUUAAAGAUAAGCUGUUAGUUUCUUUCAAUCAUUAUGUGUUUAGGUGCCGCAUGUCUGGGCGGAUUAUUUAUCAUUAUGUGUUAGGUGCCGCAUGUCGGGGCGGGUACUUUUCUUAUGUGAUUUACUGCAUGUCGAGGCAGAUAUUCUUUAUAUUAGUAUUUUAUUUAGUUUAAAGAGCUUGAUUUAAUUGAUUUGAAAACAGGGGGAUAGUCCUAUUUACGAAUAGGUCAUGCCGAAUUUUCUGUAGAAAUAUUAACUUAAAACGCGUUCUCGUGUUGAAUAAUAUUCAGAGAUGGUUGUAAGUUAUAAAACUAUAACGUGUGCUACUUGUUAUGUGCUAUAUAAUGUGCCAUGUAUAUAUUUGUGUAUAUAUAUAUCACGAAAGGGUAGAAAUAGGAUAGUCGUUUCGGAAGGAUACUAAAGUAGUAUCUGUUUGCUUAUAAUAGGAUCGAGCAUUGAGGGCGUGAUACCAAGCAAGGGCAGAAAAUGUGAGAGUUGUAUAGCGGUUCAGUAGCUACGGAUUGUUCGAGACGAGUAGAACCAGACGUUGGGGAUCAAGACUGAAGUUAGAUAAGAUGUCGUAUCAGGCUGCAGCAACCGCAUGAGCGACAUAGCAAAGAAUCAGGAAUAGUUGAUGGUGAUGUCUUGAGAAAGCAGAAUAAGAUAAGGAUGUUAGCUAAGAGUGUAUAAGCUAAGGACCAAAGGCAAGUAUUCCCAUUCCUCUCUUGUAUAUUUGAAAGUGCAAGUAUCCCUAUCUUCACUUAUUGUUCAAGUGAAAUUUUCUUCAAAUCCUAUUAUGCAAGUAUCUUGAAACCUUCUUUUAGAUAUAUUGCAAGUACUCUGGAACUUCCUUGAUAUAUUGCAAGUACCCCUGACAAUACUCUUGCUGGUUCGAGAUUACUAUAUAUGGAGUAAUGUAGAGCAAGAAUGCAUGUCUUUGUUCAAAUAGAUUCUAAAUAAUUGAAUGUUUUAAGUUACGUAUUCCCCUCGUUUCUAUGGAUUUAAUAUCUUUUAAAUUUAGUUUUAGCUGCCAAAGGCCAAUGUGUUGCCUUAUAUUUGGUACCUGUGAAUUAGGACAUGCUUCUACGAAGUGUGAUCCCGUACUAUUACACGUGCUGAUCAGCUGUGAUAGUACACCCGUCAGUGGAAGUUUCAAUCAAAAUUUAUGAUUUGAUUACUUAAGCUAAUAUUGCUUUUGUUUUCCAUUGGAUACUACUGUUUCUUAUCUCUUUACUUCCAGAAGGAUAGCACUUAUUAAUGCUUUACAUUUAAGUAUUUUAUAUAUAUAUUGUUGAGCCUUCUAGUUGCUCAUUCUUCCUUGUUGUUGCUGUGCUAAUCUUUGAGUUACAACUGUUAUGAUUUACUUCAAAAGUCUGCUUUAUUUCAAAUACUCUGAUUUCAUUCAAAAGAAAUUAUAUCUUGUGGCUCUUGCCUUUCUUAUUAUCUUGUUGAGCAUUUUCGCUCACUCUUGCUAUUAUUUCUAACCCUUUCAGCUAGGGAUUGAGAUGUCACCUGUAUAAGCUGCGCGUAAGAUUGAUGCUAGGCGAGAUUGCCAGGGAGAUGUUUACAAGAGUAGUUCUAGUUAGAAUUGUUCUAUUUCAGUUCAGUUGUAAAUAGACUUAUUUAUUUGGUUAUCAGUUACUCUUCUUAUCGAGGUUUAACUGAUAAUGUAGUUUAAGUUGUAAUAAGAUUUUAAGUUUUGGUUUCUGAUUUCAGUACUGUAACCUAUUAGCGAUCCUGUUUUUAGGGGGGUCAAAGUGAUUUUGAUUUAAAUCUCUUUUAAAAUUUCCAGAUUUUGAAAUAUCUGUUUUACCUUCUUCCGCAAAUAUAGGUUUUUAAAUGAUUUUGUUUUAGUGGCACCAAAUCCAGACCCCCGGAUUUGAG
rnacentral:lncRNA from 1 species